rnacentral:rRNA from 1 species
UACGUAGGGGGCAAGCGUUGUCCGGAAUCAUUGGGCGUAAAGAGCUCGUAGGCGGUCUGUCACGUCGGAUGUGAAAGCCCGGGGCUUAACCCCGGGUCUGCAUUCGAUACGGGCAGACUUGAGGUAUUCAGGGGAGAACGGAAUUCCUGGUGUAGCGGUGAAAUGCGCAGAUAUCAGGAGGAACACCGGUGGCGAAGGCGGUUCUCUGGGAAUAUCCUGACGCUGAGGAGCGAAA